ACCACACCCAGAUUUAGUUUGUCUUUAAUCUCUGUCUACACCCCCUUCAGUCUACACCUACCUCAAAAGGCUCUAGCCAGCUUUUCUUCACCACAUCCCACCCGUUCUGCAUUUUCUCUUUGCCUCCUCUGCACACGCGCUGUGACAUUGUUCAAACACACCCUAAAUUAGACAAGCCAGUCUCUUACCACUCUGCGUCGUCUGUCAUCAAACUUUAUCUCCCGCUUACAGCCUUGGAAACCAGCAACGCUGCAAACGGCCUGCAUAGCUUCCUGUCAUUCCAGUCAAUGCAGACAACUCAUAGUCAGCCAAGGUAGAAAGCAGAAGAAGAAAGAAAAUACAGUCUUCUGUUGCAUUGCCAGCAUUCUGAAUGUAAAUCCACAAGCAGAUCUUUGGAUGACUAGUUCAUCACUGCUUUGAAAGUACCAGGAGUUUGUAACGCAAAGUUUAACUGGUAACGGAGACGCCAAGCCAUUUGGGAUUUUCCUACUUAACAGGAUUUUUUAUCAGGAGGCAUGGAUGAACUUAACACGCCCAACUCAUCUCAUGUGACUGUGCUGAUCCUUUUCUUGGUCCUACUGGGCCUAAUUGUUUUGCUGAUUUUCUUGUACAAAAUGUUAAACAGGGAGGCUGAAGGACAAUAUACCAUUCGGCGCAUGGUCUAUAAGGAAGGAGGGGUGAGGGACCGGGUGAGAGGGGCAGCUUUAGCACUGGGGGCAUUUACUGGCAUCCAGCUGUGGCCUUGCAGUGAUACAAAUGAGGAUGGAGAGGAAAUGCAGGAAAUCCAUGAUGAGGAGGGGCAGGUGGAGGGUGGUGGUAGCCAGGGGAGUGGCACGGAGGGAGAGGAUGAACAGGAGGAGGAUGGCAUGGUGAAUUGUGGUCAGACAAAGAGAGAAGGAGGUGACUCUUCAAGUAAUAACUCAAGUUUGGAGGUUUUGGAGGCAGAGGAGCAAGCCAGGCUGCUGGAUGUGCCGGAGGCGAAAGAAGAGGUGAAGAAGAAAGGGGAGGAAAAGCAAGAGAAAGUGGGAGAAGAGCAAAAUAAACAGGAAACAAGUGGAGGGGCUGGAUUGUUGAUAGACCUAAAGAAUUUCUCUGGAAGUGCCAUUUGGUCUGGAGAAGAGGGAGGUGAGGGUAAGGGUGGUGAUGUGACUGCACUGUGACGACAGAAUCAGGGAACAUGUAUAGUGGAGACACUGGAAAUAGUCUCUUUUUGGCCACACUUGUAACCAGGAUUUUAGAAAUGCUGAUGUCAAAAUUUUAAGUUCUCCUAAAUGGCUGUUCAAAUAUGUGUGUGUGUGUAUAUAUAUAUAUAUAUAUAUAUAUAUAUAUAUAUAUAUAUAUAUAUAUAUAUAUAUAUAUAUAUAUGUGUGUGUGUGUGUAUAUAUAUAUAUAUAUAUUCUACUCUGAUAGGGAAAAAAUAACUCUGAGUGAAAUAGUGUAAAAAUGCUGGAAUCAACUUAUAAACAUCCACCGCAUGUAAGUGGUUCAUUCCAUCCAGACUCCUGAAACUUCCCAAAUUCUCUGGGGACAUGACCUCAUUUUCUUAACUCCACAUCCCGAGGCAUCAGAAUAAAAAGCUGACUGAUGAAUGAAGCUGUUAAACCCUGUUAAAUAUGCAGGAGUACACUAUAUUGGAUUCUGAACAUUUGUUAAGAACUGUUAACAUUGAUAUUGUGGACUGUGUAUUAUGCGUUUUUAUGUUGUAUGAAAUUUUUGAUCUAACUUACAUGAGAAUUAAAAAAAACUGAAAAGAU
ensembl:lncRNA